rnacentral:piRNA from 1 species
UAUGAUAUCGCCCUGUAUUGG